rnacentral:rRNA from 1 species
GACGAACGCUGGCGGCGUGCUUAACACAUGCAAGUCGAACGGAAAGGCCCUGCUUUUGUGGGGUGCUCGAGUGGCGAACGGGUGAGUAACACGUGAGUAACCUGCCCUUGACUUUGGGAUAACUUCAGGAAACUGGGGCUAAUACCGGAUAGGAGCUCCUGCUGCAUGGUGGGGGUUGGAAAGUUUCGGCGGUUGGGGAUGGACUCGCGGCUUAUCAGCUUGUUGGUGGGGUAGUGGCUUACCAAGGCUUUGACGGGUAGCCGGCCUGAGAGGGUGACCGGCCACAUUGGGACUGAGAUACGGCCCGGACUCCUACGGGAGGCAGCAGUGGGGAAUAUUGCACAAUGGGCGGAAGCCUGAUGCAGCAACGCCACGUGCGGGAUGACGGCCUUCGGGUUGUAAACCGCUUUCGCCUGUGACGAAGCGUGAGUGACGGUAAUGGGUAAAGAAGCACCGGCUAACUACGUG